CCAAUAGCGUAUAUUAAAGUUGCUGCAGUUAAAAAGCUCGUAGUUGAAUUUCGGGACCAAUAUGUCGGUCGUGCUUCGGUGCGUACUGGCAUCGUUGGUUUCUCCCUUCUGACGAACCAUGAUGUCAUUUAUUUGGUGUCGUGGGGAAUCAGGACUGUUACUUUGAAAAAAUUAGAGUGUUUAAAGCAGGCUCACGCUUGAAUACAUUAGCAUGGAAUAAUGAAAUAGGACGUUUGAUUCUAUUUUGUUGGUUUCUAGGAUCGACGUAAUGAUUAAUAGGG
rnacentral:rRNA from 1 species